AUUGCUUCCCUGUUGAAGUGAAGAUAUAAAUGUUCCAUUCUGACCCACCUUUGAAAAACAAUUACUUUGCCCCAUGGAUUCUUUGUUCAAUUAGAAAUUUCCCCGGGGCAGGUGACCCAUAGUCUUAAAGAACAGGCUAAACACCACAGAGAGAUUGGUUGCUUUUUGCUUUUCAUCACCUGCAAGAUGUACAUAAAAAUCACAUAAGCUGGAAUUCAACAAAAGACCUCUGACUAUGUGAAGAUACGGUGGGAAGAUGACUGACCGCAAGACAGGAAGAGAGCCCUCACCGAGGAACCAAAUUGGCCAGUAUCUUGAUUUUGGAUUUCUCAACCUCAAGAACCAUGAGAAAUGAAUGUCUGCUGUUCAAGCCACCCAGUCAAUGAAAAAGUUUGGAAACCUUCAUCUAGAAAGUGGUCUAGCAAAGUGUGGUCCAUGGAUGAGUUUGAUCUGCAAACUGCUUGUUAUUGGUUCAUGACAAGAAUUGGUUCCAAACAGUAAAGCCGCCAGAAAAAACAGACAAACUCUUAGGAACAAC
rnacentral:lncRNA from 1 species